CCUACGGGGGGCAGAAGUGGGGAAUAUUGCACAAUGGAGGAAACUCUGAUGCAGCGACGCCGCGUGAACGAUGAAGGCUUUCGAGUCGUAAAGUUCUGUCCUAGGGGACGAAGGACGUGACGGUACCCGAGGAGGAAGCCCCGGCUAACUACGUGCCAGCAGCCGCGGUAAUACGUAGGGGGCGAGCGUUGUCCGGAAUUAUUGGGCGUAAAGGGUACGUAGGCGGUUUUUUAAGUCUGGUGUGAAAUUGGUGGGCUCAACCCACCCAAGCAUUGGAAACUGGAAAACUUGAGUCAUGGAGAGGAAAGUGGAAUUCCUAGUGUAGCGGUGAAAUGCGUAGAUAUUAGGAGGAAUACCGGUGGCGAAGGCGACUUUCUGGACAUGUACUGACGCUGAGGUACGAAAGCGUGGGGAGCAAACAGGAUUAGAUACCCCUGUAG
rnacentral:rRNA from 1 species